UACGUAGGGACCAAGCGUUGUUCGGAUUUACUGGGCGUAAAGGGCGCGUAGGCGGCGCAAUAAGUCACUUGUGAAAUCUCCGGGCUUAACUCGGAGCGGCCAAGUGAUACUGUUGUGCUAGAGUGCAGAAAGGGCAAUCGGAAUUCUCGGUGUAGCGGUGAAAUGCGUAGAUAUCGGGAGGAACACCGGUGGCGAAGGCGGUUCUCUGGGCCUUACCUGACGCUGAGGAGCGAAAGCGUGGGGAGCGAACAGG
rnacentral:rRNA from 1 species